rnacentral:tmRNA from 1 species
GGGGCUGACUCGGUUUUGACAGCAAGGUAAAUGAUUGUGUAAGCAUGUCGGGCAAUGUGGGUAAUCCCGUUAAACUUUUUCACAAACAAUUAACUGGCGCAGAUAACUUUGCUUUCGCUGCUUAAUCGAAUAAAGUAGAUUAACUUAAUUUCGGCACAAGGUGCUGAAACGAAACAUCUCUCGAUUGGACGGUUCGGUUCCGCUUCGGCAAAGAGAUGGCAUAGCUACCGAACUAGCUUUUUUAUCUCCCCGAUAAAAAGGCGAAAGUUUAGGGGAUAAGGUCUUAGUCUGGGUGUUUGUCCUCGCUCUAAGGCUCGAAAAUUAAAGGCAAAAUAAACAUGUAGAAAGCACCUUUGUUUCUUGUUUGGACGCGGGUUCGAUUCCCGCCAGCUCCAC